UACGUAGGGUGCAAGCGUUAAUCGGAAUUACUGGGCGUAAAGCGUGCGCAGGCGGUUUUGUAAGUCUGUCGUGAAAUCCCCGGGCUUAACCUGGGAAUGGCGAUGGAGACUGCAAGGCUGGAGUUUGGCAGAGGGGGGUAGAAUUCCACGUGUAGCAGUGAAAUGCGUAGAGAUGUGAAGGAACACCGGAGGCGAAGGCGCCUGCCUGGACGACUAUUGACGCUGAGGCGCGAAAGCGUGGGGAGCAAACAGG
rnacentral:rRNA from 1 species